AUCUAAAAAAGGGAUGGUACUCCCUAUAAUUACCAGAAGUGGUUAAUGGUGCCUAUUAUAAG
rnacentral:ncRNA from 2 species